CUUCACUUACACUGCUCACUGGU
rnacentral:miRNA from 1 species